CAGCAGCCACGGUAAUACAGAGGGUGCAAGCGUUAAUCGGAUUUACUGGGCGUAAAGGGCGCGUAGGUGGUUAUGUAAGUGAGAUGUGAAGUCCCCGGGCUCAACCUGGGAACUGCAUCUUAUACUGCGUAGCUGGAGUGCAGUAGAGGGUAGUGGAAUUUCCGGUGUAGCGGUGAAAUGCGUAGAUAUCGGAAGGAACACCAGUGGCGAAGGCGGCUACCCGGACUGACACUGGCACUGAGGCGCGAAAGCGUGGGGAGCAAACAGGAUUAGAUACCCCAGUAGUCCCUGUCUCUUAUAC
rnacentral:rRNA from 1 species